rnacentral:rRNA from 1 species
GCAAUGGGGGCACCCUGACCGAGCAACGCCGCGUGAGUGAAGAAGGUUUUCGGAUCGUAAAGCUCUGUUGUAAGUCAAGAACGAGUGUGAGAGUGGAAAGUUCACACUGUGACGGUAGCUUACCAGAAAGGGACGGCUAACUACGUGCCAGCAGCCGCGGUAAUACGUAGGUCCCGAGCGUUGUCCGGAUUUAUUGGGCGUAAAGCGAGCGCAGGCGGUUUGAUAAGUCUGAAGUUAAAGGCUGUGGCUCAACCAUAGUUCGCUUUGGAAACUGUCAAACUUGAGUGCAGAAGGGGAGAGUGGAAUUCCAUGUGUAGCGGUGAAAUGCGUAGAUAUAUGGAGGAACACCGGUGGCGAAAGCGGCUCUCUGGUCUGUAACUGACGCUGAGGCUCGAAAGCGUGGGGAGCGAACAGGAUUAGAUACCCUGGUAGUCCACGCCGUAAACGAUGAGUGCUAGGUGUUGGAUCCUUUCCGGGAUUCAGUGCCGCAGCUAACGCAUUAAGCACUCCGCCUGGGGAGUACGACCGCAAGGUUGAAACUCAAGGGAAUUGACGGGGGCCCGCACAAGCGGUGGAGCAUGUGGUUUAAUUCGAAGCAACGCGAAGAACCUUACCAGGUCUUGACAUUCCGAUGCUAUU